ensembl:lncRNA
CCCAUUCGGUUUGGCAUUCCCAUAGGCAGCACUUCCACAGACAAGCAGCACAGCCUGGCUGAAGUGCUGGAGUGUGCUGGGCAUUGAGAGCCAGCAGAAGAGUUUGACUCUUUCAGGCUCUCUUGGCAAAGAGUCAGUCCUUUAAGGAAGGACUUAUCUCAUCUGACUUCAGAUAGAUUCGAAGAGUCGUUCUUCCCAAGUGAAGCAAUUGCAACAGUGACCCACAUUCCCCUUCUUAAUUUCUUAUCUCAGUUGUUCCAUGGUUUCAGCUUUAGCUGGACAUAGCUGAGCUUUCUAACACAACAGUUUGAACGUUUAUAACUACUAGCUACUACAGCACAGUGAAGGGCAAUGAGCCCAACAAGGAGACUCACCUGCAUCUGAAGUGGGCAGGGCCAGCAGCAGGAGGCACAGCCAUGGGAUGCAGGCAGAGCCCAUCCCGUUGCCGGGCACUGGUGGACCUCCGUGAUCCCAGAAGGGUCACCCGACCCAGCCCUGGGUUAUCUCCCUGUGUGGGCAUCAAAUAGCAGCUGUUACAUCUCUUCUUUAUCUUUCCCCAGUCAAAAAGAAAACAACUUCCAGACCAAGUGCUGGGAAGCUUCAAGCUGAGAAAGCUGGAGUUCAGGCAGAGGUCCGCUCGUGCUGCUCAGCUUUACUGCACCCUGCAAGGAACACUGAGCUGACACUCCUUUCCAGCCCUGGAUCCCUGCAGCAGCAGAAGCCACAAAGUCCUGUUGCAGAAGAGGAUAAAUUCCCCCCAACUCUCCUGGCCAGGAGGCUCCAGGUCCAUGCACAUCACCCAGCAAUACACGCAACAAACCACGUCUUGUGACCUGCUGUCACUUCCAAAAACACACACCCAGACAGGUAGGAAAGAUGCUCUGUUCUGAGUGACCGCUUUGCCUGACCCGACUUGAAAUAUUUACUGUUACAUUGCUUUUACUUCUAAUUUGAACAUAUAGUCCCCAUCAGGUUUUCUAAAUUAAAAUUCAAGCAAAUAAAUCCCAUAGUAUUUCUUAAUAAAGAGUGAGAAAAGCAUCCUGGGUCAUUCCAAUGACACUGAAAGGGGAUUUACAUAAAACACAACUUUUACUUUCCAAAGGAGAAAAAAGCAGUAAUUCCCCUGGAAGUAUCACUUAGGUUUUCUUACUAGUGGGGCAGUGGCAAACAUUAAAUGUUCUGCCCUUCGGGGCUUUUAAUUAAAAGCUUUAUUAAGAUAAUUUUCUUAAUUAUCCCAGGCCUAUGGGAGCCCUUGCAGCUGCCAGCAGACAACGCAGCCCCACCUGAUCACUCAGUCCUGCUCGGCACAAUAAGCAGAAGUAUGACAAUAUCCUCCACAUUAACAACCUUUCAGAAUCUCAAGGGAGAGAGACAGACUCUUUAGGGGGGUCUGUGUGACAGGACAAGGGGAAGUGGUUUUAAACUAUGAGAGGGCAGAUUUAUAUGGGAUAUAAGGAAGAAGUUUUUUAAGGAAGAAAAGUAGGAAGAGCAUAAUGUAUUUGUGCUGGACGAGUGUCCAUACAGCAUCUUUACAUCAUGCAAGGGGACCAAUUCCUCCAUGCAAUGCAGCACUGCUCCAUCCAUGCACCAUCUGCAGGGAUUGCUCCUGGCCCCACAGAUACCAGCAACAUCCAGAGCACCAAACGAGCACAGAAACCAAAUCAUUCAGUGCCAUUUCACACCGCUCUCACUAAAUCCUUUCUGCAAAGCGUGAGCUGCCUGUAGCUGUCUCCUCCUGCUCUUCAGGCACCAAGGGCUGUCACCAACUUUGUCCUUGGAACAUUUGCUCAGCUCACAGGCUGGCAGUUGUUUGCCUACAGAUCUGAUAGCAAACAACAUUUUUUCCCCCCGAAGUUUUCAGUCCCAGGUUUGUGCAUUCUGUUCCCCUUCAUUCUGUUUUCUCUCCCUCUUUGUAGCCUCCUCCUUCCUCCUUUCCUCCUGUGCUGUUCACAGCACAUCUCCCAUUCUCUUUCCUUCAGCAAGAUUCCUUCCUUCUCCUCCUCCUUGCUUUGUUUCUAAAACACGCAGCUCUCUCUGCCUCCUCCCCCUGGUAUCAGUUUUGGCAGAUGUCUGUUUGGAGCUCUCUUGGCUGCCUCCUGCCAUCAAUUCUAAACUUCUGUCAGCAAUAAAACACUCAAAUCUAAAAUUAAACGUUUGCUUUGGACAGAAAACAUUUUUCAUCACGUUUUUUUUUUUUCCUGCUCGCCUUCGUUCUCAGGACAGCACGAAUUCUCAUAUUCAGAACUGCUGAAGUUGGCCACAGAGCUGUACCAAAGCAAUGCCACACCCUAAAUGCAGACCAGCCCAAGCAAUACAGUACCAGCUUUAGCCUCAAGAGCUGAGUAUCAGGGGUGAGUAGAGCCCCAACGAGGCAUUCUGGCUUUGUUUCAGAAAGAGCUAUUGCAGUACAAUGCACUUUUCCUUCCCCCGUGUGUUCACAGGGCUAUGGGUUUUCCCCAUACAGCAGGGCUGCUCCCCUGCUCUUUCCCCUCCAACUGAACGUAACACAUCAUUACACUCUCCUCCAGUAGUAAACACUGUGCUCUUGCCCCUCCUUACUCUCUCACAUGGACACUCAGCUCAAGGUUUUAUGGCUUAAUGUGCCCUUCAGUAUACAGUCAUGUGGUCAGGUCCAACUGUUCUGGUGAUGUAAUGCAAUAUGGCAAACAUUUAUGUGUUACUGUAAGUUUCAGAAAGAACUUUUGUGUUCUCCUGAGUGUCCCGUGGGAGAGGAUUUAAGUUUCCAACAGUUUGCAGAAAGCAGUAGAGCUGAAAGAGGCAAAGAAACUACAGCACAAGAAGGACUUCCCAAGAUGCUAUAUACUUUUUCUUUUAACUUGAAGCUCUCUCCUGGAAGAGCAGUGGACUUUGCAUGAAAGAACUGCAGUACUGCUGUAAGUACCCUGUAAGUACCAGCUUCACUGGUUGAUCUGCUGAAUGCCACUCAACAAACCGUUGCAACACAUUAAAAACAAGAGAAAAAUCAGAGAAAGGGGCAAAACAGCUAUUGCAAGAGCUGGUCUGCAAGCUCAGUGUGUCCCCCCCCAGCUCCAGCAAGCAAUGGGGAUACUCCUACAGAAUCCCUCUUACGAAACUCUUUUGCAAUUAACCACAGGAGAACACAGCUGAGCAUUUCUACUGUUUGUGGCACACUGGGUGGCAAGAGCAGCGUAGUCACUGGAGCCACAUGCACUGACUUAUGCACAGAGAACACACAAACCACGCCGAUCACUUCCCUCCCACCACACAUGCUUUUAGUGCCUGUUCUGAAAUGCCUCCUUAAGAAGAGGAAACCAGCAGUUUGUAAGGGAAAAGAGCAGCUGUAGGACAGGACCUUACAGAAGAGCACCGUGUAAAUACCUGGAAGGAUGUGUGAGUCCCAGGAAGCCCUCCUGUGCCUGAGCAGUGUUCUGUGUGCUCAGGACAUGCAGCUCCACAUCCAGAGCCCUGCAGGAGAGACCGAUCAGUGCAGACAGACGGAGGAGCGCUGCUGGCUUUCCC